AUGCCUUUAGGCCCACGUGGUGGCCGGAGCCCUGAAGACGUUUUCCUUCCUCAGCCUCGGGAGUCCCAGCAGGCUUUUCUCGGCUUGUUCCCUCCUGCGUGGUCACAGGUUUCUAAUGCUCAAGAGCACUGCCUGAGAGAGCGUCUGCCCCCCCAUUGUGUGAGGGAGGGUCUGCGGUGGGAGCUGGUGUCACGCUGGCCCGGCAGGGUGGGCGAUGGCCACGGGCGGUGCUGGUGGGAGGCCGUGGUGAUCAGACUCGUGGGCUGGAGCCCGGACACGAGAGCGCCCAGGGAAGAUGCAGGCUGCGGGCUGACCUGUCGCUGACGUGGGCUCCCAGGCUGGACCUGCCCCGGCCCGGCAUGCGCCUCUCUGUGCGCAGGGCGCUGCUGGC
rnacentral:lncRNA from 1 species